CUGGUUUGGACUUCAGCGAUUUCAAUAAGCUUUAAGAUUUUUUUCCCGGGUUUUUGGCGCAUAGCCGGCAGUUGCCGAUGCGGUUUUCUUUUGCAGCUUAAGCGUUAAUAUGUGGUAAAAUAAAAACAAAUUAAUUUUGUAAAGGUUUAAUGUGAAAAGUAAAAUACCCGUUGCUAAAAUAUUAAAUAAAAUACCACAAACCUUGUUUGAAUACAUUCACGUAAACACCAAUAAUUGUGUAUGAAUGACUAAGACAAAUUUAGCAUCCGUAUCCGUUUUAAAUUACAUACAUAAAAAAUAGAAGGAAAGGAAAAAGAAGGAGGCAGUUAAAAAUAAUAACAAAAAAAAACAAAUUAAAAAGUUAAAAUUGUUGGAAAUGUUGCAAUUCAAAUUAUAACCUAUAUUCAGUGAAGUGACUAUAAAAUGUUUGCAUCAUAAUUAUUCAGCUGCUGAAUUAAAUUUGGAAUUGCAACCAAUUGAGGUUUUUCCUGGCGUACAAUGUCCCGACGCAAACAAUUAAAUCCAAAGCCGCUUAAU